rnacentral:rRNA from 1 species
UCCUACGGGACGCAGCAGUAGGGAAUCUUGGGCAAUGGGCGAAAGCCUGACCGAGCAACGCCGCGUGAAUGAUGAAGGCCUUCGGGUUGUAAAAUUCUGUUAUAAGGGAAGCAAGGUGAUAGGAGGAAAUGACUAUCAAUUGACGGUACCUUAUGAGAAAGCCACGGCUAACUACGUGCCAGCAGCUGCGGUAAUACGUAGGUGGCAAGCGUUAUCCGGAAUUAUUGGGCGUAAAGAGCGCGCAGGUGGUUGAUUAAGUCUGAUGUGAAAGCCCACGGCUUAUCCGUGGAGGGUCAUAGGAAACU